rnacentral:rRNA from 1 species
AAACGUGGGAGGCAAGCGUUAUCCGGAAUUACUGGGCGUAAAGCGCAUGCAGGCGGUUGUUUAAGUCAGACGUGAAAGCUCCUGGCUCAACUAGGAGAGGUCGUUUGAAACUGGACAACUUGAGGAUGGUAGAGGAGAGUGGAAUUCCCGGUGUAGUGGUGAAAUGCGUAGAUAUCGGGAGGAACACCAGUGGCGAAAGCGGCUCUCUGGGCCAUAACUGACGCUCAGAUGCGAAAGCUAGGGGAGAGAACGGGAUUAGAAACCCCAGUAGUCC